CAUCUGCCAUGAAAACAAGCUUGACAGAAACAUGUCUGUAUGCCUUUACACUGCUGAUGGUAUGCCUUUGACCGAUGACCCUUUUUUCAACACAUGGUCUUUGAAUUGCAGACAUAUUGCAAGUGGGAGCGAACUAUAUGCCAUAUUUACACCAAGGGAAAAUUUAACAGUGUUACCACCAACACAAAGACAGGCCAACAUCAGAAAUGAAGGACCAAUUGUCAUCCGCUGUCACAUAAUGUUACAGGGGGACUUUGAAAUCAAAGUUGACCUCGAAAGUGAUACACUGAGAGAUGUGACGCUACGGCUUUCUCUCGAAAGCAAUAUAC